GAAUACCGAAGGCUUUCAAAGUUCUUUCUACUCUGCAAUCUCUCUUCUUCCUGCUAAGCUUCCCUUUUUCUCUUCUCCGGCUUUCUGUCCUAUUUUCCUCUUUCACUUUGCUUUCUUGGUCUCUUAUUUUUUUUCUUUGCUUUCACAUCAUCUUCCUCCAGGAAUUUUGGUUAAACUUUGUUACACUGGGAUCUACUGGACGCCGUAUGUUGCAUGGACAAAAUUCCUAUGUUGAAUCCAGUUCUUCAUCUCCUAUGCAGAAGACUGUAGACCCAUCUCAAUUUGGCAGUGACAAAUCCAAUUAAAAGAGAGAUGAAAUAUCAAUUUAAAUUUCGAGCACCAAGUUCUGAAAUUUUAAUUGAUCCUGGAGUUCUACGUCAUACGUGAAAGUGGAAAUUUUAAACGACAUCAUGACACACCUCCAUAGAAUGAAGAAGGUAUCAUCAAAUAAGUAAAGGUGAAGUUUUUUUGUUGUGUCUCAUUGAUAAAAGUUCUGAAAUUUUACUAUUCUCCAUUCCUAUUGUUGUGUCAGAUGAAGGAACAUGACAUGUUUUGCAAUAAGCUUAUUACACUUCCAUGAAUACUUCGAGAUUUGUUAACUAAAUGAGAUAUUAUUGUUUCAUAUAUGUAUAUUUAUGAAAAUAGAGUAAUGCACCUGUUGUUUCAAUUGUUCUUUGGUGAUUUCUCGAAACAGAAAAAAUGAACGAAAAACUUGUUGGUAUUAUAGGAUUUCUGUCGACUUUAUUGAAACUUGCUUCCUCUCUUUGUGGUGUUACAAGUUGAAAAACAAUGUUGAUGCGCUCUUGAACUUGAAAAUACGAAGGAACAACAACUUGCACAUAGAAAUAUGCUAUGUCGUACUAGAUAUGCACAAAUAUCACCAGAAAGAAACCAACUAUUUCUAUCGCAACAGAAAGCUAAAACAGCUGAAUAAAAAAAAAGGGCGACUCUUGCAGAAUUCAAAUAAUACACUGUCCUCAUCACAAGUUCAGGGUCAUGACGAAUAUCAAAGUGCGCUUCCAACUUCUGAUCCUUCGUUAACUAGAGACAACGGUCAGAAAAGUUAAAUUUUCAUAUAAUGUUGCUUUUGUGUAUAUAUAGGUAUACCUGCAUACAUAAAUUCAUUUACUAUCGUUUACAUUACUUUAUCUUCCACCAUUUCAGAGGACAUGCUUCCACAACUACACAAACAACUACUUGUGCCUCUAUGUUUAAAGUAGGUGAGUGGGGAAGGAAUUGGAAAAUUCCGAAUAGAAAAAACUCAGUUGGAUAUGGUAGGUACUUUACAUGUUAUAUGGUGAUAUUGAGUAAAAAUCAGUUCUCUUCUUUCAGACAUAAUUACCCCAACUAAUGUAAGGAUUUUGUAUGAUUUGUUAAAUUCUUUCAGACAUAAUUACAAUCUAGCUAAUGUAAGAAUGUGGUUAUUUUUUUAUCAUCCCAAAUGUCAUUCAGUUGGAUGUCGUCUGAAUUUUAUUUCACUAGGAAUAUAAUUUUUAUUUACUUAGAGAGGUUUCAAAUAUAUUGCUUGACUACUUUAUUUUUUAAAAAAAAGCAUGUUGUUUCAGUGUUAAUUAUAGAAUCCAACACAAAGCUCUCUAAACUACUAACUAAAUUAUGUCUUCUUUUGAAGUAAAUUUGUCAGCCUAAGAAUAAUAUCGUAUGUUAGCCUCAAUUGAAGGGGAAAUGACUAAUUCUUCUAAACAUUUUAAAAGACUAAGCUAUUUACCUUGAUUAUAACUAUUGUUUUGUAAAGAUAUACCCCUGCAUAUGGAAAAUGGGGUCGCAAUUCUCAAAGUAAAAUUGAAAUUGGCUUCACGACAAAACUCAAAAAGAUCUUGGUAAUUUACAGUCUGCUGUGAAGAAGAAAACAUACAACUAUUUUGUAAGCUUUCUUUAUUCAUGAUUAUUGUUUAUCCCUAAGUUUAUUUCAAUGUAAGACAAUAUUAGCCAUUCAUUGAGUCAUCAAAUUUUGUUAUGAAAUUUGGAGCUUAAUGGAUCAUCGUCCUCUAAGUUUUCACUUUUCUUUUUUUUUUUUGCUAAAUUUCACGUCCAACUUCUUAAGGAGCUCAAGAGGAAUUCUAUUAUUGUCACUAUUGGUCAGGUUGGUGUAUUCUAGGCUUUUGAGGAAAGUUCCUUGUGCCCAUGCAGUUAGCUUGACAGAAACAUAGCUACAUAUUUAAUGUUCAAGUUUCAAGACGACCAUCCUAAGGUUUCAGGUUUUAUCAGGUUUGAUUACUAAAAUAGCUCAAAGUGAGAGUAUAUAACUUUCAAGUCUAUUUUUUUUUACUGUUGAUACCUUUUUUUUUGUCUCCAAUAAACCAUCCGUGAGGAUAUCAAUAGUUUGUUGCAAUUUGUGGCACAUGUAAAUUUAGCACUGCUUGCAAUUCGGUCCGUGAGAUACUAGGUUGCUGCUAACCUACUCAAUAUCCAAGUUAUCGUGCACAUUAUGGACAAAUAAAGGUAAGUGAUUAUUCUACUAUCCAAUUUAUUUUAUCUUCUUAUCUAUAUUUAGCAACUAGACUAUACUUGAGCUUCUAUCAUAUUCGUCUCCUAAAUUUGUCUUAGAUUGUACAUGUAAGAUAAUUCAUUUGCAAUCUAAAUAUUAGUACAACAGGUUAACCAAUAGAGAACCCUCACAGUCGUAGGUCUCCUUAGCAAAUAAUCUUAAUGACUCCUUUUGGCCUUCAGUUUUGUUAUACCUGACGAAAUAUUUAUUGAAAUAUGCAGGUCAGAGUUCUUUGUUCUCUCUUAUUUAUAGUUCUCAAGUCAUCAUUAUGCAUUUUUUGUUACCUUACUCUAUCUUAGGAUAAUCUUCAGUUACUAUGUUUGUGGAUUUUUCUUUGUUUUUGUGUUUGUUCUAGAUAAAUCAAGUUUAUUGGGAGUUCGGGAGAGAAUUAUACUCUCAUUAUGCUCAUAGCUCUUUUGUUAUUAUGUUCCUUAAUUGUCUUGCUGGUAGUUUGUCAUGUUAACAAUUCUUUGAGUUUUAUACCCCGACUUCCUGUGUCAUCUCAAUUAUUUUUUCAAGAGAAUUAACCUAUAUUAAAAAGUUUAGAACUAGUGGUUUAACUCAAAAUCACAUAAUUGAAAAGGCACAUCACUAAUACAAGAAUUAUCUUAUUAUUUGAGAUAUUGAUACCUCUAUUUAUUAAAAAUAUAGAUAUUUUUCAAUGAAUGAAAAGCUUUCAGAAUUAAAGCAGCUCUUUGGUCAACAUUACUAAAAGAACAAGAAGAAGUGUAUUUAAAAAUUAAUGACACAAAAGCAUAGUGAAAGUUCACAACUUUGUUUGCCUGUAUGUCCGUAAUAACAUGGAUGAACACGAUUCUCCCUUUGUGUGCGAGUCUCUGCAACUCACUGGAAAAUUAUGGUCAAUACUUGAUCUAUAUGCAAGAACUACUUCAGUAAAUUUUGUUAUUUAAACAGUUCACGAAAGAUAAUUCAAUUUCUUACUUGCUGUUUUUUCCUUCUGAUUCAUUUGGAUCCUUAAGUAUGGAAUGAAAACAGAUAUAUCUCUAUUUGACAAAGCCAAUCAAGUUGUGGAACUAUACUGGGUAUGUUAUUAUUGUUAUUGACAGAGGUGAUCAAGUUGAAGAAUGAGCAUAUUUGGUGGAGCUUUUUCUAAAAAUAAUAGAUGUGCUUGUACUUUGUUCAUUAGAAAUUACAGGUAUCAACACGUCUGGCGCUAAAUAAAGUUUUUGCCUCUCAAGUAUGGUUGCACUUCUAUUCAUAUGU